rnacentral:snRNA from 1 species
GCGCUCGGUUUGGCAGCACAUAUACUAAAACUGGAAUGAUACAGAGAAGAUUAGCAUGGCCCCUGCACAAGGAUGACACACAAAUUUGUGAAAAUUAUUUUCUUCUC